rnacentral:tRNA from 1 species
GUGGAGAUAGUUUAAAUAGAACAAAUUCUUGAAAAGAAUUAGGUACCUUUGGUUCUUCACA